ensembl:lncRNA
GGACUGGACACACAGCCAGACACUGGACUGGACACACAACCGGACACACAACCGGACACACAACCGGACACUGGACUGGACACACAGCCGGACCCGAAGAGGCUGGACAGUGCCCGGGGAUCUCCUCAUCCAUCACCAUCCUCAGCCUGGGGGGAAUGGCGGGAAACGAGGGAGAAAAUGGCGGGAAACGAGGGAGAAAAUGGCGGGAAAACAGAGGGAGAAAAUGGCGGGAAUGUGAGGGAGAAAAUGGCGGGAAAAUGAGGGAGAAAAUGGCGGGAAAACGAGGGAGAAAAUGGCGGGGAAAUGAGGGAGAAAAUGGCGGGAAUGUGAGGGAGAAAAUGGCGGGGAAAUGAGGGAGAAAAUGGCGGGAACAUGAGGCAGAAAAUGGCGGGAAAAUUGGGGAAAGGGAGAAAAGGAGGGGAAAAACGGGAGAAGAGGCAAAAACCUGGGAGAAAGGAAGGAAACGAGGGAGAAACUGAAGGAAAACUUGGGAAAAACUGGGGAAAAACCGGGAAAAACCAGGAAAAACCGGGAAAAACUCGGGAAAAACUCGGGAAAACCCGGGAAAACCCGGGAAAAACUCGGGAAAAACUCGGGAAAAAACGGGAAAAACCCGGGAAAACCCGGGAAAAACUCGGGAAAAACUCGGGAAAACCCGGGAAAAAACGGGAAAAACCCGGGAAAACCCGGGAAAACGAGGAAAGGGGGGGAAAAUCCUUCCGGAACAUUCCCGGCAAAUCCGUGUCCAGGUGGGGCCGCCAUGAGGGCCGGGCUGCAGGAGGGCGACCGCAUCGUCAAGGUCGGCGUUUCCCCCAUCCCGAAUUCCCUCCGGGGGAAUUCCCGGAGUUUUUCCCGCCCUUUUUGUGUUGUUUUUUUCCCUUUUUCCCAGCUUUUCCCGGGGUUUUUGUGUGGCCCAGGUGAACGGGACGAUGGUGAGCAACAGCUCCCACCUGGAAGUGGUGAAGCUGAUCAAGUCCGGUGCCUACGUGGCCCUGACCCUGCUGGGAUCCCCCCCCGGAUCCCUGGGAAUUCCGGGAUCCCAGCAGGAGCCGGAGCCCCCGGGAGGUCCCCAAGGGCCCCCCCAGCUCAUCACCGAGCCCAGGCCCCUCCAGGUGAGCCCCAGUUCCAGAGGCAAUCCCAGAAUUCCAGAGGCAAUCCCAAAAUUCCCUCAGGGAAAUCCCAAAAUUCCAGAGGCAAUCCCAGAAUUCCAGAGGAAAUCCCAAAAUUCCAGAGGCAAUCCCGAAAUUCCAGAGGCAAUCCCGAAAUUCCAGAGGAAAUCCUGAAAUUCCAACAGGGAAAUCCCAAAAUUCCCUCAGGGAAAUCCCAGAAUUCCAGAGGCAAUCCCAGAAUUCCAGAGGAAAUCCCGAAAUUCCCUCAGGGAAAUCCCAAAAUUCCCUCAGGGAAAUCCCAAAAUUCCAGAGGCAAUCCCAGAAUUCCAGAGGCAAUCCCAGAAUUCCAGAGGCAAUCCCAGAAUUCCCUCAGAGGCAAUCCCGAAAUUCCCUCAGGGAAAUCCCAAAAUUCCCUCAGGUGACCCCAGAUCCUCCCCAGGAGAUCCCAAAAUUCCUUGAGGGGAUCCCAGCCCCCACCCCAGGCCAAUCCCACAUUCCCACAUUCCCAUUCCCAAUCCCACAUUCCCAUUCCCACAUUCCCAUUCCCAUUCCCACAUUCCCAAUCCCCGUUCCCAUUGUUCCCACAUUCCCAUUCCCAUUUUCCCAUUCCUAUUCCCGUUCCCAUUUUCCCCCAUUCCCAAUCCUAUUCCCAUCCCCCCAAUCCCAUUUUCCCCCAUUUCUAUCCCCAUUCCCACAUCCCCAUUCCCACAUUCCCAUUCCAUUCCCACAUCCUCAUUCCCAUUUUCCCAUUCCCAUUCCUGUUUUUCCAUCCCCAUUCCCCCAUUCCCAUUUUCCCAUUCCCAUCCCCAUUGCCAUUCCCAUUUUCCUGUCCCCAUUCCCAUCCCCAUUUUCGCUCAUUCCCAUUUCCCCAAUCCCAUUCCCAUUCCCAUUCCCAUUUUCCUGUUCCCGUUUUCCCAUUCCCAUUCCCACAUUCCCCCAUUCCCAUUUUCCCCAUUCCCAUUUUCCUGUCCCCAUUCCCAUUCCCGUUUUCCCCCAUUCCCGUUUUCCCCAGUUCCCAUUCCCGUUCCCCAUUCCCAUUUUCCCAUUCCCAUUCCCAUUUUCCUGUCCCCAUUCCCAGUUCCCAUUCCCCCAUUCCCAUUCCCCCAUUCCCAGUUCCCAUUCCCGUUUUCCCAUUCCCAUUCCCCCAUUCCCAUUUUCCCCCAUUCCCAGUUCCCGUUUUCCCGUUCCCAUUCCCCCAUUCCCAUUUUCCCAUUCCCAUUUUCCAGUUCCUGUUCCCAUUCCCAUUCCCCUAUUCCCAGUUUCCCGUUUUCCCAUUCCCAUUCCCAUUCCCAUUCCCAGUUCAUUCCCAGUUCAUUCCCAGUUCCCAUUCCCCCAUUCCCAUUCCCAUCCCCAUUCCCAUUCCCGUUCCCAUUCCCCCAUUCCCAGUUCCCAUUCCCAGUUUCCCAUUCCCCCAUUCCCAUU